GUAGGUGGCAAGCGUUGUCCGGAAUUAUUGGGCGUAAAGCGCGCGCAGGCGGUCCUUUAAGUCUGAUGUGAAAGCCCACGGCUCAACCGUGGAGGGUCAUUGGAAACUGGGGGACUUGAGUACAGAAGAGGAAAGCGGAAUUCCAAGUGUAGCGGUGAAAUGCGUAGAGAUUUGGAGGAACACCAGUGGCGAAGGCGGCUUUCUGGUCUGUAACUGACGCUGAGGCGCGAAAGCGUGGGGAGCAAACAGGAUUAGAUACCCUGGUAGUCCACGCCGUAAACGAUGAGUGCUAAGUGUUAGGGGGUUUCCCGCCCCCCUUAGUGCUGCAGCUAACGCAUUAAGCACUCCGCCUGGGGAGUACGGCCGCAAGGCUA
rnacentral:rRNA from 1 species